UACGUAGGAGGCAAGCGUUGUCCGGAUUUAUUGGGCGUAAAGAGCUCGUAGGCGGCUUAGAAAGUCAGGUGUGAAACCUCCAGGCUCAACCUGGAGACGCCACUUGAUACUUCUAUGGCUAGAGUUCGGUAGGGGUAAGCGGAAUUCCUGGUGUAGCGGUGAAAUGCGCAGAUAUCAGGAGGAACACCGAUGGCGAAGGCAGCUUACUGGGCCGAUACUGACGCUGAGGAGCGAAAGCGUGGGGAGCGAACAGG
rnacentral:rRNA from 1 species